GACGAACGCUGGCGGCGUGCUUAACACAUGCCAGUCGAACGGAAAGGCCCUGCUUUUGUGGGGUGCUCGAGUGGCGAACGGGUGAGUAACACGUGAGUAACCUGCCCUUGACUUUGGGAUAACUUCAGGAAACUGGGGCUAAUACCGGAUAGGAGCUCCUGCUGCAUGGUGGGGGUUGGAAAGUUUCGGCGGUUGGGGAUGGACUCGCGGCUUAUCAGCUUGUUGGUGGGGUAGUGGCUUACCAAGGCUUUGACGGGUAGCCGGCCUGAGAGCGUGACCGGCCACAUUGGGACUGAGAUACGGCCCAGACUCCUACGGGAGGCAGCAGUGGGGAAUAUUGCACAAUGGGCGGAAGCCUGAUGCAGCAACGCCGCGUGCGGGAUGACGGCCUUCGGGUUGUAAACCGCUUUCGCCUGUGACGAAGCGUGAGUGACGGUAAUGGGUAAAGAAGCACCGGCUAACUACGUG
rnacentral:rRNA from 1 species